UACGUAGGGUGCGAGCGUUAAUCGGAAUUACUGGGCGUAAAGCGUGCGCAGGCGGUCUGUUAAGACCGAUGUGAAAUCCCCCGGGCUUAACCUGGGAACUGCAUUGGUGACUGGCAGGCUUUGAGUGUGGCAGAGGGAGGUAGAAUUCCACGUGUAGCAGUGAAAUGCGUAGAGAUGUGGAGGAAUACCGAUGGCGAAGGCAGCCUCCUGGGCCAACACUGACGCUCAUGCACGAAAGCGUGGGGAGCAAACAGGA
rnacentral:rRNA from 1 species